GGAUAUUAUUUCACAUUGGACUUGGGCUAUGUUCUGGAGCUCAAAUUAUUGUCAAACCCCAGCCAACAAGCUUGAGAUAAAUAUAUUCAAAAUAAGAUUGAGCUUCCAAUUAGCCUCCUAUAUGAAACUUUGUCUAUUCGUCAAACUCAUUACUUCCAAAACUUUUAACAAAGCUCGAGGUCGAGCUCGUUCUUUUCAACUUCUAAACAAGGUAGAGGUCAAGC
rnacentral:lncRNA from 1 species